GUCGUAACAGGUUUCCGUAGGUGAACCUGCGGAAGGAUCAUUCACACACAUCCAACCAUUUCACUGUGAACUUCUUUGUGAGCUCUUGCGCGGGGGUUGGGGCCUUGUGCCGCACCCUGGCGUUAGCAGUUCGCGGGUAGUGGAGCAGCAUUGGGUUCACCUUUGUCUGUGAAGCUAUCGCUAUUCUUGUGUAGAUCACAAUUGUGUCUCGCGUGGUUUCUUUGGGUGGUCUUCAUGGCCAUCGCUCUUUGAAACACAACUUUCAGCGACGGAUGUCUCGGCUCGAACAACGAUGAAGGGCGCAGCGAAGUGUGAUAAGCAUUGUGAAUUGCAGAAUUCCGUGAACCAAUAGGGAUUUGAACGUAUACUGCGCUUUCGGGUUAUUCCUGAAAGCAUGCCUUCUUCAGUGUCUACUGAUUUUCAUGCCCCUGACGUAUGCCAAGUCUUCUUGGUGCUGUCAUGGGUGCGUGUUUGUGUGUCAAGGAGCCUCUUUUGGCCUUUGACGCAUUCAGUGUACAGGUAGCGUCUCCAACGAGCAACUUAAUAAGCAUCUUCUGGUGUCUCUUUCGUUGUGUAGUUGUUGACUCGUAGCCUGCUCCAGCUCACGACUCCUGUCGUCAUUCAAGACAUGAAGUUAGGUCAGCAAACCCGCUGAAUUUAAGCAUAUAAGUAAGCGGAGGAUAAGAAACUAAAUAGGAUUCCCUCAGUAAUGGCGAAUGAACAGGGAUAAGCUCAGCUUGGAAAUUGGGCCCUCUGGGCUUGAAUUGUAGUCUUUCGAUGGCAUUGCCAGCGGAGGCGCAGAUGUAAGCCUCUUGGAAAAGAGCAUCAAUGAGGGUGAGAGUCCCGUUUGUCAUCUGCAGUCCCCCGUUUACGGUGUGCUUUCUAAGAGUCACGUUCCUUGGGAUUGGAGCGCAAAUUGGGUGGUAAAUUUCAUCUAAAGCUAAAUAUUGGUUCGAGACCGAUAGCAAACAAGUACCAUGAGGGUAAGGUGAAAAGGACUUUGAAAAGAGAGUUAAAAGUGCCUGAAAUUGCUGAAAGGGAAGCGAAUGGAACCAGUCUUCUUGGUGAGAUUGUUGUGCGCUAUUGUGAUUGCUUUCUGCUUCAACGCAAGUGUUGCAGUUUGUUUUGAGCAUGACGCGCACUUUGUUUCUCACCUCGUGUGUCACCGUCGGUUCAGAUUUGAGGAAAACUCUAGGGACAUGGUUAAUCGCUCGCGAGUGAUUGAACGUGCCUGGUAGAACUCAUGUCUAAACUGAUUUCCGCAUGUCUGGUCGCAGUGUUCUCAUUACCUGCGUCUGGGUUCGUGGCUUGUAGCUUCUGUUACUCGUCGCGGGCUUCUGGGCCUGGUCGUGGAGCAUCUCCCUGACAUUAGUACGAUGACAAAAUGGUUUCAUUCGACCCGUCUUGAAACACGGACCAAGGAGUCUAACAUAUGUGCAAGUUCACGGGUGUUAAACCUGAUUGCGCAAUGAAAGUGACUGCUGGGAUAUUUGCACCAGCAACCGACCAAUCAAUUGUGAGAGGUUUGAGUAUGAGCAUAUCUGUUAGGACCCGAAAGAUGGUGAACUAUGCGUGA
rnacentral:rRNA from 1 species